UGAGGUGUGGCUCAGGUGGUAGAGUGCUUGCCUUGCAUGCAGGAGACUCUGGGUUCCAUCCCUAGUAUUAAAA
rnacentral:tRNA from 1 species